rnacentral:ncRNA from 1 species
GCAUUUGCCAAGAAUGUUUUCUUUAAUCAAGAGCGAAAGUCAGAGGUUCGAAGACGAUCAGAUACCGUCCUAGUUCUGACUAUAAACGAUGCCAACUAGCGAUCGGGGGGCGUUACAUUGACGACCCCUCCGGCAGCUUACGGGAAACCAAAGUCUUUGGGUUCCGGGGGAAGUAUGGUUGCAAAGCUGAAACUUAAAGGAAUUGACGGAAGGGCACCACCAGGAGUGGAGCCUGCGGCUUAAUUUGACUCAACACGGGAAAUCUCACCCGGCCCGGACACAGUGAGGAUUGACAGAUUGAGAGCUCUUUCUUGAUUCUGUGGGUGGUGGUGCAUGGCCGUUCUUAGUUGGUGGAGCGAUUUGUCUGGUUAAUUCCGAUAACGAACGAGACUCUGGCUUGCUAAAUAGUUACGUCGUGACGAACGAAAAGGAAUCGACGCUUUGAGCGUCGCUGCAGCGGGUCGGUCGCUCUUUUCGAGGGGCGGCCGUCCGGCGAUGGUGAGCUCGGUGCCGGCCGAAGUGCCGCUGCCACGCUCGGCCCCAAGGGGUGUUCCGCGCGACCGCGCGAGACCGAGUCGACCUCGAAGAGGACCAUCGGCUGGGUCGAGGCGACGCGCGCGGAGCAAGCACCCCGAUAGCGGGACGACGAGGCGACGGCGAGUCGAGCCAGGGACCACGACGGGCACGGACGCCCGGACGAACGAAAGUUGGUUAGCAAGGCGUACCGAAUUCGGCCUGAGGUCGGACGAGGCUACCCGCUGAAUUUAAGCAUAUUACUAAGCGGAGGAAAAGAAACUAACGAGGAUUCCCUCAGUAACGGCGAGUGAAGCGGGACGAGCCCAGCGCCGAAUCCGGCCGCUUAUGGAGCGGACGGAAUUGUGGCGUAUGGAAUUCGCUUCGAGCGCGGACCGGCUGCCCACGUCCUUCUGAUCGAGGCUUCAUCCCACUAGCGGGUGUCAGGCCCUUGGCGGCGGCUGGC